UAGGAGUGUUUAAAGAAGGAAGUAGCCAGUUUCUCAUUUGCUGUGGACAGGACCAUAAAAAAAAUUCCCAUUAGGUUUUCUGUGUGCUACUUUGCUAGCAGUUAACCUGUUGAGGACAUUU